rnacentral:lncRNA from 1 species
GCAGAUGUGAGACUGUUGAUAACCAGCAGGGGGAUUCUUGCACUUAUAGCAAUAUCAGCUUUACUAAUAUUAAAUAUUUAAGAUUUUUCAAUUCAGGGAUCUUUGGGGGCCAUUUUGAAAAGUACGUACAUUGUUUGGAAUAGUCAAUGUGAUAUAGAUGUGAACUGAUAUUCUUAGGGCUAUCUUAAGGAGAGAGGAUUAAUUUGUUAUAAGGCUCCAAAGGACAGAACUAAGGUCUACUAAAAAUAAGUGCUCCCAUUAUGGCUCAGCAGUUACGAAACUGACUAGUAUCCGUGAGGAUCGAGUCCAGGGAUCAAACCUGCAUCCUCAUGGGUACUAGUCGGGUUCAUUAACAGCUGAGCCACAAUGGGAACUCCAAGAAAAUUUCUUUUUCCUCUUUUUAACUGGGAAAGAUCAUUAAUAAGUAAAAGGCUUGAAAGUUAGCCAUGGGAAGGCAGUUGUCUUUCAAAGUUGUCAGCAUUAUCAUCAUUGCCAGCAUUGUUAUUAUAUUGGUCAUGAUAGCAUUACAACCUCAGUUGUAAUGGCUAACAUUUGUUGAGCAUCUGUCAAGUACCUGAAAUUGUGUUGAGCACUUGGUAUGCAUUAAAUAUAAUCCCUAUGGCUACUUUAUUAAAUAAAGUUCUGUACUCUUCCUAGGUAGUACAGGGUUAUGGCCAAAUGGCUGGUAUAGGAAAUAAUUUCAGAAGAAGAAGUCACUUCAGCGCUAGGUUGAACUAGUGGAAUUUGAGCUAGAUGUUGAGGAUAGGUAGUUCUUGCUUCUCUCUCUGACAUUAUCCUUCAACACUACCUCCAGUCCCCCCGACCCGUUGUGCCAGCUGUACUAAACUACUUGUUUUCUACCCAAACCAAAGUCUGUCUUAUUCUUGGAAAGUGGAUUAUUCUGUUCUCAGUUUGAAAUAAUUUUAGAUUUACAGAAAUUUCAAAGAUUUCUUGCACACCCUUUAUCCAAUUUCCUUUACUAUUAACUUCUUAUAUAAUCAUAGUGCAUUUGUCAAAACUAAGAAUUGGAACAAUACCAUUCACUAAACUACAGAUUUUAUUUAGAUUUCUCCAGUUUUCCUACUUAUGUUCUUUUUCUAUUCUGAGGUCCAGUCCAGGAUACCAUGUUGUAAUUAAGUGUCAAGUCUCUUUAGUCUCCACCACCUGUGCCUUUUCCUUGUUUUUCCUGACCUUCAUAUUUUGAGAAGGUCUUUUGUUCAUUGUCUGUUAAUUUGGAUUUGGUUGAUGCUUUCCUGUGAUUACAUUGAGUUUAUGGAAUUUGGCAAAGAAUACAAGUGAAGUGCCCUUCUCAUCACGUCAUAUCAGGGGGGUACAUUCAUCUUAACAUGUCUUAGUAUUAGUGAUUCUAAACUUGGUUUCUCAGUUUAGUGAGUGACUGCUGGGUUUCUCCACUGAAUGGUUCCUAUUUUUCCUUAGAAGUGAGUUCCUACUCAAGAGGAGGGGAGUUCCACCUCCUGGUGGGAUGAGUAGCAAAGAAUUUUGGAGAUAAGUGAAAACUACCCCAGUAAUUAAUAAAUCUUGGGAGGAUUGUCAGGCUUAAUCUUAAUUACUUUUUCCAUUUAUUCACUUUUAUUAGACUGGAUUUUUAUUGAGCUCAGGAGCUUAAGCAUGAUGUAUUAUUUCCCUUUUAUGUAGAACAGUUGCAUAUGGUAAAUGGUGAGUAAAAUAUUUGUUGAAUGGCUAGAUCUGAAAAGGGGAGAUUAUAAAUUGCACACAAAGCUAAAUUAGUUACUUGAUCCUUUAUAUAGUGGAAUAGUAUUAACAGUGUUUGAAUAAUGUGACAAAAAUUUUUACUGUUUUGGUUUCCUGUUUUAAUGUUUUUUUUUUUUUUUCUUUUCUUUUUAAUGAGAGUUGCAGCAUUUAUUUUUUUGCCACACCCACAACAUGUGGGCCUUCCUGGGCCAGGAAUCGAACUUGCGCCACAGCAGUGAUCAGAGCCACUCCAGUGACAAUGCCAGAUCCUUAACCUGCUGCGCCACAAGGGGACUUCCUAUUCUUCCCUAAUUUUAACAUGAUAUUUAGAAAAACUGAUUAGAAUAUAAAGAAAUUUAACAAAAUAAAUUUAGGACAGAAGUCUUAUUAUGUGAUUAAAGAUAACUGUUUGAAUGUUUUGCACAUACUCUGUAUUUAGAAGGGUGGAUUUAACUUGGGAAAGCAUAUAAUUUCUAAGUAAAUUAGCAGUGAUAGAAAAAUCCCUUCUCGUUUCUCAAAAAAGGUGUUUAAAAGUACCAGUGUUAUGUUUAACUUAGCUUUUGCAUUAUAAAUGGUCUCUCUGAACCCUGAGCAUGCUAAAUUUAACCUUCAUAUUUGAUGCCAGUUUUACUUAUGGAUGCCUUUCAGGCUUCUUUCAAACUGUAUAAAUCUUUUUUUUUUUUUUUUUUAAAGAAUGUCGGUUGCUGUACUAAAAACAGGAACAAUAAACCAUGCUUGCAUUUGACCAUUGGCUUUUUUUCUAAGUAGUAGCUAUGUAGUGAAAAGGUGUUUUCUGUAAGAAGUUGGAGACUUCGGGAGAUUGAUAAUUGGUUUUAAUCUUUUUUUUUCAGCUGAUAUUGCCACCACCCCACUAAGAAUGAAUUUUCUUACCUGCUUUUUUGCCUAGGAAGUUUCACAGUCUUGCUCCAGUGCCAGAUUAUCUGUGGUUACUUGAGACUAUUAUAAUACUGUCUUCUACUUUGUUAUUUUCAUUAAAAAAAAAAAA